rnacentral:tRNA from 1 species
GCAGGAGUAGUACAGAGGUCUAGUAUGUCGGCUUCCAAACCCGAAGACACGGGUUCGACUCCCGUCUCCUGCG